rnacentral:rRNA from 1 species
GACGAACGCUGGCGGCGUGCUUAACACAUGCAAGUCGAACGGAAGGCCCUGCUUUUGUGGGGUGCUCGAGUGGCGAACGGGUGAGUAACACGUGAGUAACCUGCCCUUGACUUUGGGAUAACUUCAGGAAACUGGGGCUAAUACCGGAUAGGAGCUCCUGCUGCAUGGUGGGGGUUGGAAAGUUUCGGCGGUUGGGGAUGGACUCGCGGCUUAUCAGCUUGUUGGUGGGGUAGUGGCUUACCAAGGCUUUGACGGGUAGCCGGCCUGAGAGGGUGAUCGGCCACAUUGGGACUGAGAUACGGCCCAGACUCCUACGGGAGGCAGCAGUGGGGAAUAUUGCACAAUGGGCGGAAGCCUGAUGCAGCAACGCCGCGUGCGGGAUGACGGCCUUCGGGUUGUAAACCGCUUUCGCCUGUGACGAAGCGUGAGUGACGGUAAUGGGUAAAGAAGCACCGGCUAACUACGUG